CCGCUUCCGCCCUGCGCGCUAACCCAAGACGGGAGCUCGAGAGCUUGAUCCUGCGCGAGUUUACAGACUGCCCUCUUCCCUUUUUGCAUCGAAGACCACGACUCCCAAGAGGUAAUGCGUCGGCCCGGGACUACAUCUCCCGGCAUGCAUCGCCGGCGGGUCCGCGAGUUCUCACCAUCGCAGCUGGACUAUUAGCGGGGGCCCUAGCGCUCUUGUGGUUUGUUUCGGCAGUAUCUGAAUGUCAGCUUUUGGCACUUCUGGUCGCUCUGAGCCUCCUACUCGCAUUCCUGGAGCAAGGAAAAGUGUAAUGUUGGUUCGAGCUCAAGAAGGAAUCUGGAUUCCGGUAACUUUGCCCAGACCUUGGGAAUCCUCCCCUUCAAUACAUUUAAUUAAUGAAGUGUUACAGUGAAUUCUAAAAA
rnacentral:lncRNA from 10 species